GAUGAACGCUGGCGGCGUGCCUAAUACAUGCAAGUCGAGCGAACGGACGAGAAGCUUGCUUUUCUGAUGUUAGCGGCGGACGGGUGAGUAACACGUGGAUAACCUACCUAUAAGACUGGGAUAACUUCGGGAAACCUGAGCUAAUACCGGAUAAUAUUUUGAACCGCAUGGUUCAAAAGUGAAAGACGGUCUUGCUGUCACUUAUAGAUGUAUCCGCGCUGCAUUAGCUAGUUGGUAAGGUAACGGCUUACCAAGGCAACGAUGCAUAGCCGACCUGAGAGGGUGAUCGGCCACACUGGAACUGAGACACGGUCCAGACUCCUACGGGAGGCAGCAGUAGGGAAUCUUCCGCAAUGGGCGAAAGCCUGAUGGAGCAACGCCGCGUGAGUGAUGAAGGUCUUCGGAUCGUAAAACUCUGUUAGUAGGGAAGAACAUAUGUGUAAGUAACUGUGCACAUCUUGACGGUACCUAAUCAGAAAGCCACGGCUAACUACGUG
rnacentral:rRNA from 1 species